GCACCCUUGGUGUAUGGAACACGCACCGUGUCAUUGGAAUGCGAGCUGGGUUAUAUCCAGCGGUGAGACGGGGUUCGAUUUCCCGCGGGUGCA